CGCUGAUUCCCGCUGGUUGGUCUCCUCCACGACUGGGCUUGAUUGGCGCUGUCCAGUGGGCACUCCGGUCGCUUGUGCCCCAACUGUUUGCACCCAAAGCACCGAAUUGGCUGUGAAUAAUCCCUGGCAUUGAACCGGGAGGGUUGCACGUAAUUGUUUGCUGGCGGUACUGCUGGGGUGCGGUGCACUGGGGGUUGGUAGGCUGAAGGUGCUG